GAAAACCGCCUUCUGGAGUCUCAGGGAAACCCUGCAUCUUGGCAGUGACUACCGCCACCUGGUGGCAGUGUACCCACAGCAAAGGCCGAGCCCAGUGUCUUUGGGCGUCGAAUCUAUGAAACCCCGGGCCAGAGUGAUGAGGGCUUGCUAAGGUAGAAACGACUGUUGUGAAAGGCUGUCCGGGAGGUGCCAGCCCGGGAACGAGAGCCCGCACCGCAGCGCAGCCAUGCACCCCAGCCAGACCCAGGCCGGAAGGCGAAAGGGAAGUUUCUUCCAAGGUGAGCACAGGGCUUUUCAGCUUGCAAAGCUUUUUCUCCUCUUGUACAUCAUCCGAACCUCACCACAACCACGAGUCUUGUUAUGCAGAUGAGGAUGCUCACCAUCUGUUGAGGACCUACCACGUGUCAGGUGUGGCGUGCGGUUCUUUACAAUAACCACUCUUGAUUGUGUGCCUACUAGGCGCCAGGCAGGCGCUUUACAUACACCGGCUCAUUUACGGCUCAAACCAAAGUUGGGUCCAUCUUACAGCCAAUGGAACAGACGCUCAGGGUUGAGGUGACGUCCUUGCCCCGGGUCACCCAGCUAGAAUGUGGCAAAGCCACAAUGAACCUGGCGGGGCUCUUGUGAGAAGCCAGUGAGAACGCGCACAAAGCAUGGGGCCCGUGCCUGGCGCCAGGUAGGUUCUCCGAACGGCGUAUUUCCUUCUUUUGUCCUCUUUCUGCCGUCGGCUUGUUUACAUUCUCCCUGUGCCCCAGAAGCCGUAAUUGCUUAU
rnacentral:lncRNA from 1 species